ACCAGACUCCUACGGGAGGCAGCAGUGGGGGAUAUUGCACAAUGGGGGAAACCCUGAUGCAGCGACGCCGCGUGGGUGAAGAAGCGCCUCGGCGCGUAAAGCCCUGUCAGCAGGGAAGAAAAUGACGGUACCUGACUAAGAAGCCCCGGCUAACUACGUGCCAGCAGCCGCGGUAAUACGUAGGGGGCAAGCGUUAUCCGGAUUUACUGGGUGUAAAGGGAGCGUAGACGGCGGCGCAAGUCCGGAGUGAAAGCCCACGGCCGAACCGUGGGACUGCUCUGGAAACUGUGCGGCUUGAGUGCGGGAGGGGCAGGCGGAAUUCCUAGUGUAGCGGUGAAAUGCGUAGAUAUUAGGAGGAACACCGGCGGCGAAGGCGG
rnacentral:rRNA from 1 species